GUGGCGAUCCAAUUCGUCGACCAUCGCUAACUCCCUCUCGAUGAUGGCCAGCCUGCAGGAAAGCACGAGGCCAUGAGAGCGAAGGGAGAUCAAUGGCAAUAAGGUCUUGCUGAGGGUGGAAGAAGAGCGACUCGAUGGGAUACUAUCAUUGAGGAGAGAACAACUCGAUGGGUAUAAAGUAAGUAAAAGAACCGACAGAAAUCGAGGCGUCGUGCGGCGCGCAGUAGGCGACGCGAUCCCUUCUGGUACCGCUGCCGACGACAUCGUCGGCCGACCACUCUCUGCUGGUGCUGCAGGCCGCCACCUCGCCGCUCCCGUAGCAACAGCUUUCGGAACCACCAAAAUCCCUCUGGUCGCCGGCCCGGUCGACCAACCUACGUCGAGAUCACGCCGCCUCGGGUGAAACGAAGUUGAGAAGUAAUAGGCUGCAGGAACAUCUCCAAGAUGAAGUGAGGAUAUUAACUAGGAAGAUGACAUGGCUUCUCGGACAAAGCUCUCUGGCUUGCAAAGGCAGGUGUUAGGGCUAUACAGGGAGUUUCUUCGGGCAGCUCGUCUAAAGGAACCAGAAGAGCGUUUAAGGAUUGAAUCUAUUGUCUCAGUUGAGUUUCGCCAGAAUGCGAUGAAUGUCGACCGCAAGAAUUUCCUAUACAUCGAGUAUUUACUCCGUCGAGGCAAGAAGCAGCUUGAGCAACUGAAGAGCCCUGAUACUCUGAGAUUAUCUACUUUGGAAGUAGGGAAAACACCUCAGUAAGUAAAUGGUUUCUCUCGAUAAGUUUUUGUCGUAAACCUUUUGACAAAGAGGACAUGGACAUUUGGUGAUUCUAUUAUCAACUAGUGUUGUUACACUUGCUCACAUGGAUUAAUGUAGUGAUCUUAAUGACUGGAAAGAGUUUUUACAUGAGAAAUCUGUUUCAGCUUACA